rnacentral:lncRNA from 1 species
AUGUUCCAGCUCUGUUAGCUCAACUCAACUCAUAUGAUAGGUGGGCUUCGAAAUUGGCUAGGUUCCGGGCAACAAGAGUAGGGAGAGCACCAGGUUCAUCUAAGGGUACACACGACUUUGAGUUACAGGCUUAGCCAUGUCUUUCAAUCGCUGGGGGUAAUCUUUUAUAAGAUGUUGGGUGCUUCCGCACCAAUAGAAAGCGUGAUUGAUACGCUGAUAGG